GAUGAACGCUGGCGGCGUGCUUAACACAUGCAAGUCGAACGGGAUCCCGGGGGUUCGCUUCCGGGUGAGAGUGGCGAACGGGUGAGUAAUGCGUGACCGACCUGCCCCAUACACCGGAAUAGCUCCUGGAAACGGGUGGUAAUGCCGGAUGCUCCGGUUGGAUGCAUGUCCUUCCGGGAAAGAUUCUAUCGGUAUGGGAUGGGGUCGCGUCCUAUCAGCUUGAUGGCGGGGUAACGGCCCACCAUGGCUUCGACGGGUAGCCGGCCUGAGAGGGCGACCGGCCACAUUGGGACUGAGAUACGGCCCAGACUCCUACGGGAGGCAGCAGUGGGGAAUAUUGCACAAUGGGUGCAAGCCUGAUGCAGCGACGCCGCGUGCGGGAUGGAGGCCUUCGGGUUGUAAACCGCUUUUGAUCGGGAGCAAGCCCUUCG
rnacentral:rRNA from 1 species